rnacentral:tRNA from 1 species
GAGAAGGUGGCUCAGUGGUAGAGCAUUUGCCUUUCAUGCAUGAUGCCCUGGGUUUGCUUCCUCA